UACAGAGGUGGCAAGCGUUUGUUCGGAAUUACUGGGCGUAAAGCGUGCGUAGACGGUUAUGUAAGUCAGAUGUGAAAGCCCCGGGCUCAACCUGGGAAUUGCAUUUGAGACUGUGUAGCUAGGGUGCGGAAGAGGCGAGUGGAAUUCCCGGUGUAGCGGUGAAAUGCGCAGAGUAUCGGGAGGAACACCAAUUGCGAAGGCAGCUCGCUGGGACGUGACUGACGCUGAGGCGCGAAAGCCAGGGGAGCAAAGCGGGAUUAAGAUGACC
rnacentral:rRNA from 1 species